rnacentral:rRNA from 1 species
GAUGAACGCUGGCGGCGUGCCUAAUACAUGCAAGUCGAGCGAACGGACGAUAAUCUUGCUUCUCUGGUGUUACCGGCGGACGGGUGAGUAGUACGUGGAUAACCCCCCUAUAAGACUGAGAUAUCUUCGGCAAACCGUAGCUAAUACCGGAUAAUAUUUGGAACCGCAUGGUUCGAAAGUGUAGGACCGUCUUGCUGUCAGCUCUAGAUGGAUCCGCGCUGUAUUAGGUAGUUGGUAAGGUAACGCCUCACCAAGGCACCGAUGCAUAGCCGACCUGAGAGGGUGGCCGGCCACACUGGAACUGAGACACGGUCCAGACUCCGACGGGAGGCAGCAGUAGGGAGUAUUCAGCAAAGGGCGAAAGCGUGACGGAGCAACGCCGCGUGUGUGGUGAAGGUGUGUGGAUCGUGAAACUCUGUUAGUAGGGAAGAACAUAUGUGUAAGUAACUGUGCACGUCUUGACGGUACCGAAACAGAAAGCCACGGCUAACUACGUG